GAUGAAGAACGCAGCGAAAUGCGAUACGUAAUGUGAAUUGCAGAAUUCAGUGAAUCAUCGAAUCUUUGAACGCAUAUUGCGCUCUUUGGUAUUCCGAAGAGCAUGCUUGUUUGAGUAUCAGUAAACACCUCAAAAGACUUUCAUUUUUGAAAUGAUUUUGGACUUGAGCAAUCCCAACACCAGUCUUCACGGAUCGGCGGAGGGUUGCUUGAAAUGCAGGUGCAGCUGGACAUUCUCCUGAGCUAAAAGCAUAUCUAUUUAGUCCCGUCAAACGGAUUAUUACUUUUGCUGCAGCUAACAUAAAGGGAGUUUGACCAUUUUGGCUGACUGAUGCAGGAUUUCACAAGGGUCGGUAAAACGAUUUUUGUAAAACUCGAUCUCAAAUCAAGUAAGACUACCCGCUGAACUUAAGCAUAUCAAUAAGCGGAGGA
rnacentral:misc_RNA from 1 species